rfam:Glycine soja cultivar W05 scaffold1570_104, whole genome shotgun sequence.
UUACAAAGAAAUGUUGAUUAUCAUAUGUCACGUUUUUGAUUGGACGAUGACUAUUACAUGGCAUAUUCUGUAGUCAUCGUCCAAUCAGAAUGUGACACGUGACAUUCCUAUGUA